rnacentral:misc_RNA from 1 species
CUAUUUGGCUCUCCCUUUUGUAGAAAUCUACCACUCUUACAUUAAAUUGUUUUAUUGGGACACGAAAAAUGAAAUAUGAAGAGGAAAUUCAUACGAGCACAAGCAAUCUCCUUUGCUGACAGCUGAAUUAUUACAAGGAUUAUAUAAAAAGACAUCCUCACAUAAAAUUAUUACUAAUAUAUAUUUAUAUCUAUCCACCCAGCAGAAGCCAGAACAAGGAACAGAGCUGCUUCUGUCUCUUAAGACAACAUUAUUUUCUCCCUCCAUCUAAAUCUUGCCCUUAUUAUAUAUAAUAGAGCAUUCUGUUCAUCCAUUGAGCCUUAUUUUUGUCCUAUUCUAUGUAGUUUUCCCUAAUUCUUGACCAAUGUCUGUCCUUUUCCCUUCUUUAUUGUGUCUGCAACUGUUUUCUUUACCAAAAACAUCCAAAACACCAUUAAUGUGAGCGAGAUUAGAAGUGAGGAACACGUCAUGUGCGUUGCUCUAUCUCAAUAUGUCCAUUCCUGAGGCAGACCCAUCUCUUGGUUCUCUGCCGGCACCGUCCGGGAAUGGCUAUUGUUCUGGAAUUGCAGGCCAUACAUCACAUCACCCAUUGAAGCAUCUACAGUGACAAUUGUAUUUAAAAAAAGAUUAAAAAAUAUAUAUAUUAUGAAGUAACAAAGUGCUACUGUUCUCCGUUUAAUAUGCUAACAAAACCACUUUUAAGUCUUAAUAUUGAAGCAAAAAAGGCCUAAUUGCAAUUUGGUUAAAGAAAAUUAAGGUACCAUGUUGAACAGGGAAAGUGGGCUUAUUGGAUAUUGAUUCAGAGCCCAUUUUGUCGAAGUGAAGUUUUAGGGCUUGAACCACUCUUGCUGGUAUAAGAACGGUGGAACAGCCUGCUCCAAGCAAAAUCAAGAGCAUAUCAGUUCAACUGUACUUUUCUUCUCCAUUUUAAAUUGCUUGUAAUAAAGAUAUUGCACAACUAGUUACUCAAAAGGAUGUCAAUUAAUUUCUUCCCAGUAGUUAGCUGAAAGCAAUGGGGAAGGACCAAACAACUAGUGGACCAUCUAUGGAGGAAGAUUCCAGUGCACACUUGUCAAACUUAAUUUGGCCACUGCCAAAGUUAAAAAUUUAACCAAAGAUAAAUAGGAAUCUUGCACCUUGAACCAAAUUUGGAUUCCACAAAAUCAAAAUCAAACGAACAUAAAAUCCAAACCUAAUCUAGAGGAAUAUGUGAUAGGAGAUGCACCACUCAAGAAGCUAACAAAUCCCAAAAAAAUCCGCUGAACCAGAAAAACCAAUGAAAGAGACCAACUUUCUUAGCCAAAAGGAAACCUUAAGAUGACCCAGAAUCACAGAAAACUUUAUAUAGCAAUUACCUCGUUUCUUGCUUGACUCGCAAGUAUUACCAAUUCCUCUGGGCAAGAAUACCCCUGUCCCACAAGAACCACUUCUUGAACCGGACUUCCCAAGGAAAAAUGCUGUCAUCUCUGAACCGGUUCUCUGUUGCUGUUGCAGAUUAGCCCAUGAACCUUUUUGUCCAUUACCAAAUCCACCACAAGUUCUCCCUUUGCUUUGAUGAAAUUGUCUGGCUUGUUGUUUAUCAAGCUCAAGGUGAUUCAACCCUUUGGCUUGCUUUCUCCAAUACAGAGACUCCUGCUUUUGCUUCAUAAUCUGCUCUUGCUUAAGCUUAUAGAACUGCAAAAUAAACCACCAAGAUUAGCAAAGAAGUAAAUUAAGUGCCCUGUAAAUAUGAAAUCAGGUAUAAGGCACUUGCUUGAAUAGCCCGUAUUUGGUAAUCAAUUAGAGCUUGCUUAGAACCAAUCUCAAUAUUCCGGUUUCUGGGUUUCCUCAUGGCUGAAGGUGCCGAAGCGGGUUCAAGAGAGGUGCUUACAAAUCUUUCACUAUCGUUAUACCCGAGCUUUUCUCUAUUUAUCUUCAAGUUCUCAAACUUCCCUAUCAUGUUUACCUCUUCUUGGCUCGCCCCGAGCCGAAACCGUUUCGUUGAUUGAGGUGAACCGGCCAAACUCCAUGCCUAGAAACAAGAGCAUUAAACCCCAAAUCAGAAGCUGAACAUAAAUGCAAACAUGCAUCAAUCUCAAAGACAGGGUAAUACCUCAUUUUCAUGUCUGCUCUCAUCAUCUUGGAGCGUGUAGUGAGACAUUUGGCGAGUCAACUCAGAAAUGUAAUCGUCGUCUUGGUCACUCUCCGACUGACUUGAACCAAGUUCUGACCCAACAGGUGAGCUCAGAGCAGAACCAAAAUCAGAGGAACUAAAGCAAGAAGACCAGGUUAGGUUAAGGUGUUUGUUGUUGUUCCCUGAGAGAAUAUCAUCAGUGAAAAACUGAGACUGAGGAGGUGGAAGCAAUGAUGAAUCUCUGUUGUGUAGUUCAAUGGCCAUAAUAAAGAAAAUUGAGUUUGCUCAAUGAAGAGAAGCAAGGUUAGGAUUUUAAUGAUUUGCUAUUAUAAUCUGCCUAAAGAGAGACACGAAGAAAUCUUCCCCCAUCUAAGGUUUAUAUAGAAAAGAAAGUAUGAUAGAGUGGUGGGUCUCUCCUCUAGCUAGGGUUGUGUAACUGUAUCUGUAACUAUAACUAUAACUAUGUGUUUUGAUUGGGUACUUUCUAGUAGUUGGACAAGGUAGAAUUUAUUUUGCAACCCAGCUGCCAAGUGCCAAUUGUCGGAGGUUGCAUCCGUCUGAGACUCGUUGGGAUUUUUUAAUUGUAUUGAUAAAGACAGAUGGCAAGAUUGUAUUCCAUUUGGUAUAGUUCAUUUUUACAAGAGUUUACGUUAGUCG